GAGCGUCGUGGGAUGGCACGACCGGUAAGCUCGCGGACGUGGUUGAUCUUUCUCUGUAACGUUUACAAAUAAGAGUAAUAGAAGUGAGAAAAGCUGCAGUUGUUGCACGCAGCACCAAAAACCCUCUCCUCCGUCUACCUUCAGCCCUCUGCGAUCUGCGAGAGAGAGAGAGCACUCCGACGUCUUCGGUUCCAACAUCUCUUGCUCUAAGACUCUGGGCAAAAGGCAGGUCCGACUUGUUGUUUGAAAGGUACCAUUUUCACACACAUCCGCUUAUAUGGAUACCCACUUACCUUUGAAGAUAAUUCAGCAUGCCGAGAGCAAGAAAAGGAAGACCCAGAGUUCCGACUCAGUGGAUCUUCACGAAGGUCUCUCUCUGGAGCCAUAUCCAUGUCGGGAUUGUAGGUAUGAAAAAUCAAGUCCUUUUGCUUCCUGUCCUCGAUCCGUGCAAAUGAAGGCACCGAUGAGUCCUUCAAACCCAGCGUUUGUGGCUUCCUCACCUUCAUCUCGCGCCUCAAGCACCAAUGCCGACUUUACCAUUAACGUUGGGUUAGCCGACACUUCAAUUGUAACAGUAAUAAUUUGCAAAUGUCUCCAUACCUUAUAUGUAUUCCUUUAUCUUUUUGAACAGGGCCAAGGCAACACUCAAGGAAAAGACGACUCCUUCCAUAGCCGCUAGUGCUGGAGCAGAGACAAUAAGCUGUGGUGGUGCUGUCAUGAACACUAGUGAGUCGGCAAGGACUGAGCUAGCCCAAGGUACUCCCUUCCAAGAUGAGCCGAUCUUGGAUGACUCAGUCCUUCAAGACCAACAAGAGGCAAUGAUGGAUGUGGUGAUGGAUAACAUGCCACCAGCCAUGGCCAGUCCUAAGCCGGUGGAAGAUGAGGUGGUGGUUACUCAUACUAAACACCAUACUCCACCCAAGACUUUGACAGUUCUGGUGAAAACUACAGUGGAACAUAACUCGGCUCCACCUAGUGAGCCGACUCAUGACGCCCAUCUCGAAUAAUAUGAAGACAUGGGUUUAUCAUCCCUUCACCAUGAGUAUGUAGAGGCAGAGCCUAUCAGCAUUUGUGUCGGCGCAGCAACUGUCAAUUCUUGAAAAAAUGAUUUUUCGCUUUGGUUACCCACACAACGUUAUCAUUUAUAAUGGCACCAACUUGUCCAAAUAAGCUAUGAAGCAGUUUUGCGAGAAGGAGCACAUCCGACUAGAUCUGGCCUCUGUAUCACAUCCGUAGUCUAACGGUAAAGCAAAGUGCCAAUCACGAACAAUUGCAUGGGAUUAAGCCAUGACUCAUGGUUCCCCUUGAGCGCACUCAUGGAUUGUGGGUUGAGGUGUUGGAAAUAUGCCCUAGAGACAAUAAUAAAUUGGUUAUUAUCAUAUUUACUUGUUCGUGAUAAUUGUUUAUUAUCAAUGGUGUAAUUGUAUUGGCCGAAAACUCAGAUACAUGUGUGGAUACAUAGACAACACCGUGUCACUAGUGAGGAUCUAUUAGAGUAGCUCAUUGAUCAAAGAUGGUUAAUGUUUCUAACCAUAGACAUGAGUUGUUGUGUGAUAAUGAGAUCACAUCAUUAGGAGAAUGAUGUGAUGGAUAGGACCCAACCGUAAGCAUAGCAUUUAAUCGUAUCCUAAGUUUAUUUC
rnacentral:lncRNA from 1 species